UACGAAGGGGUCUAGCGUUGCUCGGAAUCACUGGGCGUAAAGGGCGCGUAGGCGGAUCUUUAAGUCGGGGGUGAAAGCCCAGGGCUCAACCCUGGAAUUGCCUUCGAUACUGAAGAUCUCGAGACCGGAAGAGGUAAGUGGAACUGCGAGUGUAGAGGUGAAAUUCGUAGAUAUUCGCAAGAACACCAGUGGCGAAGGCGGCUUACUGGUCCGGUUCUGACGCUGAGGCGCGAAAGCGUGGGGAGCAAACAGG
rnacentral:rRNA from 1 species